ACGGAGGGUGCAAGCGUUAAUCGGAAUUACUGGGCGUAAAGCGCACGUAGGCUGUAGUGUAAGUCAGGGGUGAAAUCCCACGGCUCAACCGUGGAACUGCCUUUGAUACUGCACAACUUGAAUCCGGGAGAGGGUGGCGGAAUUCCAGGUGGAGGAGGGAAAUCCGUAGAUAUAUGGAGGAGGAGCAGAGGCGAAGGCGGCAAACUGGACCGGUAUUGACGCUGAGGUGCGAAAGCGCGGAGAACAUACAG
rnacentral:rRNA from 1 species